rnacentral:rRNA from 1 species
CUCUAAGGACUUGGCGGUGCUCUAAACCCACCUAGAGGAGCCUGUUCUAUAAUCGAUAACCCACGAUUCACCCGACCACUUCUUGCCAAAACAGCCUAUAUACCGCCGUCGCCAGCCCACCUCAUGAGAGCACAACAGUGAGCCCAACAGCCCCCAGCCCACUAACAAGACAGGUCGAGGUAUAGCCCAUGAAGUGGAAGAAAUGGGCUACAUUUUCUAAAAUAGAAAACCCCAACGAAAGGGGGCUUGAAACCCACCCCCCAGAAGGCGGAUUUAGCAGUAAAGCAGGACAAUC